rnacentral:rRNA from 1 species
UAAGGAAUAUUGGUCAAUGGAGGCAACUCUGAACCAGCCAUGCCGCGUGCAGGAAGACGGCCCUACGGGUUGUAAACUGCUUUUGUACCGGAAUAAACCUUCUUUCGUGAAAGGAGCUGAAUGUACGGUAAGAAUAAGGAUCGGCUAACUCCGUGCCAGCAGCCGCGGUAAUACGGAGGAUCCAAGCGUUAUCCGGAUUUAUUGGGUUUAAAGGGUGCGUAGGUGGCCUAUUAAGUCAGGGGUGAAAGACGGCAGCUUAACUGUCGCAGUGCCUUUGAUACUGAUGGGCUUGAAUACAGUUGAAGUAGGCGGAAUGUGACAAGUAGCGGUGAAAUGCAUAGAUAUGUCACAGAACACCGAUUGCGAAGGCAGCUUACUAAAGUGAGAUUGACACUGAGGC